GUUUCAAAAGUUCAACUUACAAACCUGGUGUAUGUAAUUCCACACAAUGCACUUAUUCCAAUCCUAAUUACUGUGGUGACUGCGUAUUGAAACCAAAAUUGCAGCCUGGAUGCAACAACAAUAGUUGUUACAUUUGGGGUGAAAAUCCCUUGAUUGAUUGGUUUGAUGAUAGCGCUGAAAUUGCUGAUGAUGUAUUUGUUAUUGGUUCUACUCCUAGUGUUCGUGUAACUUUGUUGCGGUUCAUUUUUGCUUGAAUCUGUUUAUUCCUUUUGCUUCAACAGACUGGCAGUGGUAGAAAAUUGCAGCACAAUGCAAUAUACAGCUGAUCAAACCAAGUGAUACCGAGAGGCCAUUUUUAUGGACAACAACAAGAAUCCUUUCAUGUUUACCAUAUGGGACGAUCUAACAGACAAUGAGGGGGUUGUACUACUACAACUGUUGCACGAGCACACUGUUAUUCUUGCAAAAUGAGUAGCUGUUACAGAGUACCGUCGCGGAAAAUGCCAGUAAUUGAAUUUGAAUACUGGCUAGAAGUAAACUCGAUCUAUUGUAGUGAACGAUGAAGAGUUUUUGUACUAUUGUCAUGUAUGUUUGAAUGUAUUUGGUUUUGUGGAAUUUAUUGAUAGUAGAGAUCUUUAAGCAAUUGAUUUUUAAGUAUCGGUUGUACAAGACAUGUUUCCCGAAAUUUAUU